UACGGAGGGUGCGAGCGUUGUCCGGAAUCACUGGGCGUAAAGGGCGCGUAGGCGGCUUCUUAAGUGGGCGGUGAAAGCCCGGGGCUCAACCCCGGGUCGGCCGUGCGAACUGGGAAGCUCGAGCCCGCUAGAGGCAGGCGGAAUUCCGGGUGUAGCGGUGGAAUGCGUAGAGAUCCGGAAGAACACCGGUGGCGAAGGCGGCCUGCUGGGGUGGAGCUGACGCUGAGGCGCGACAGCGUGGGGAGCAAACAGG
rnacentral:rRNA from 1 species